GCACAAGCGGUGGAGCAUGUGGUUUAAUCGAAGCAACGCGAAGAACCUUACCAGGUCUUGACAUCCCUGACAACCCGAGAGAUCGGGCGUUCCCCUUCGGGGGACAGGGUGACAGGUGGUGCAUGGUUGUCGUCAGCUCGUGUCGUGAGAUGUUGGGUUAAGCCCCGCAACGAGCGCAACCCUCGACCUUAGUUGCCAGCAUUCAGUUGGGCACUCUAAGGUGACUGCCGGCUAAAAGUCGGAGGAAGGUGGGGAUGACGUCAAAUCAUCAUGCCCCUUAUGACCUGGGCUACACACGUGCUACAAUGGGCGGUACAAAGGGUCGCGAACCCGCGAGGGGGAGCCAAUCCCAAAAAGCCGCUCUCAGUUCGGAUUGCAGGCUGCAACUCGCCUGCAUGAAGCCGGAAUCGCUAGUAAUCGCGGAUCAGCAUGCCGCGGUGAAUACGUUCCCGGGCCUU
rnacentral:rRNA from 1 species